GACGAACACUGGCGGCGUGCUUAACACAUGCAAGUCGAACGCUGAAGCCUAGCUUGCUGGGUGGAUGAGUGGCGAACGGGUGAGUAACACGUGAGUAACCUGCCCCCUUCUUUGGGAUAACGCCCGGAAACGGGUGCUAAUACUGGAUAUUCACUGAUCUUCGCAUGGGGGUUGGUGGAAAGGUUUGUUCUGGUGGGGGAUGGGCUCGCGGCCUAUCAGCUUGUUGGUGGGGUGAUGGCCUACCAAGGCUUUGACGGGUAGCCGGCCUGAGAGGGUGACCGGUCACAUUGGGACUGAGAUACGGCCCAGACUCCUACGGGAGGCAGCAGUGUUUUAUAUUGCACAAUGGGCGCAAGCCUGAUGCAGCGACGCCGCGUGAGGGAUGGAGGCCUUCGGGUUGUAAACCUCUUUCGCUCAUGGUCAAGCCGCAACAGUGGUUGUGGUGAGGGUAGUGGGUAAAAAAGCGCCGGCUAACUACGCGCCACCAGCCGCGGUAAUACGUAGGGCGCGAGCGUUGUCCGGAAUUAUUGGGCGUAAAGGGCUUGCAGGCGGUUGGUCCCCCCUGCUCGAAAUCCUCUGAAUUAACUGGGGGCGUGCGGGGGUGCUGGCUCACUUCAGCGCACUUAGGGUGGA
rnacentral:rRNA from 1 species